GGUCUGGUGGUCUAGCGGUAUGAUUCUCGCUUAGGGUCCACCCUAAACAUUGCAUGCGAGAGGUCCCGGGUUCAAUCCCCGGCCAGACCC